rnacentral:rRNA from 1 species
GGACCCGCACAAGCGGUGGAUGAUGUGGAUUAAUUCGAUGCAACGCGAAAAACCUUACCUACCCUUGACAUGGUCGGAAUCCCGCUGAGAGGUGGGAGUGCUCGAAAGAGAACCGGCGCACAGGUGCUGCAUGGCUGUCGUCAGCUCGUGUCGUGAGAUGUUGGGUUAAGUCCCGCAACGAGCGCAACCCUUGUCCUUAGUUGCUACGCAAGAGCACUCUAAGGAGACUGCCGGUGACAAACCGGAGGAAGGUGGGGAUGACGUCAAGUCCUCAUGGCCCUUAUGGGUAGGGCUUCACACGUCAUACAAUGGUCGGAACAGAGGGUUGCCAACCCGCGAGGGGGAGCUAAUCCCAGAAACCGAUCGUAGUCCGGAUUGCACUCUGCAACUCGAGUGCAUGAAGCUGGAAUCGCUAGUAAUCGCGGAUCAGCAUGCCG